UGGGGAAUAUUGCACAAUGGGCGAAAGCCUGAUGCAGCCAUGCCGCGUGUGUGAAGAAGGCUCUAGGGUUGUAAAGCACUUUCAGUAGGGAGGAAAAGCUUAAGGUUAAUAACCUUGAGCCCUGACGUUACCUACAGAAGAAGCACCGGCAAACUCCGUGCCAGCAGCCGCGGUAAUACGGAGGGUGCGAGCGUUAAUCGGAAUUACUGGGCGUAAAGCGCGCGUAGGUGGUUUGAUAAGCUAGCUGUGAAAGCCCCGGGCUCAACCUGGGAACUGCAGUUAGAACUGUCUGACUAGAGUACAGUAGAGGGUGGCGGAAUUUCCUGUGUAGCGGUGAAAUGCGUAGAUAU
rnacentral:rRNA from 1 species